CUUGCUCCCUGAUGUUAGCGGCGGACGGGUGAGUAACACGUGGGUAACCUGCCUGUAAGACUGGGAUAACUCCGGGAAACCGGGGCUAAUACCGGAUGCUUGAUUGAACCGCAUGGUUCAAUUAUAAAAGGUGGCUUUUAGCUACCACUUACAGAUGGACCCGCGGCGCAUUACCUAGUUGGUGAGGUAACGGCUCACCAAGGCAACAAUGCGUAGCCAACCUGAAAGGGUGAUCGGCCACACUGGGACUGAAACACGGCCCAAACUCCUACGGGAGGCAGCAGUAGGGAAUCUUCCGCAAUGGACAAAAGUCUGACGGAGCAACGCCGCGUGAGUGAUGAAGGUUUUCGGAUCGUAAAACUCUGUUGUUAGGGAAAAACAAGUACCGUUCAAAUAGGGCGGUACCUUGACGGUACCUAACCAAAAAGCCACGGCUAACUACGUGCCAGCAGCCGCGGUAAUACGUAGGUGGCAAGCGUUGUCCGGAAUUAUUGGGCGUAAAGCGCGCGCAGGCGGUUUCUUAAGUCUGAUGUGAAAGCCCCCGGCUCAACCGGGGAGGGUCAUUGGAAACUGGGGAACUUGAGUGCAGAAGAGGAGAGUGGAAUUCCACGUGUAGCGGUGAAAUGCGUAGAGAUGUGGAGGAACACCAGUGGCGAAGGCGACUCUCUGGUCUGUAACUGACGCUGAGGCGCGAAAGCGUGGGGAGCGAACAGGAUUAGAUACCCUGGUA
rnacentral:rRNA from 1 species